ACCAAUUAUUAUCAAACGGUAAAACAUUUCAGUGGAGUAUACAAGAAUGGCUCUAAAAUUACUGUGGAACUGUGCGAAAAUUAUUCUGUUGUCUGGUCUCUCCUUUGAUAUUUGAAGAGGAAUAUCCAUUGCGUCUCAGAAGCUGAUGAUUUGCGUGUCCCUGGCGGCGCUGGUAAGCGGUGCGUGUGUGGUGUCGUGCGUACCCGUGCUGCUGCAGCUGCUGCGACCGAGCUGCGCCUGCGCCGCGCCCGUCUGCCCCGACUGCGGCAUGAAAUACUGAGCUGCCUGAAACGCUGAUUCAAGAUAAAUUAGAAUAGUUGAAGAUUGUUGUUAGUCCCGUGCCCCACCAUGAUCUGUCUGUCGCUGGCGACGGCCAUCACCGCGGCCGGCAUCAUCAUCGCCGGGCCCAUACUCUGUGACAAACUCCUCCAGUGUUGUAAGACGAAAAAAUAAAUCACGCAUA